rnacentral:rRNA from 1 species
AACGAACGCUGGCGGCAGGCUUAACACAUGCAAGUCGAGCGCCCCGCAAGGGGAGCGGCAGACGGGUGAGUAACGCGUGGGAACGUACCCUUUACUACGGAAUAGCUCCGGGAAACUGGAAUUAAUACCGUAUGUGCCCUUCGGGGGAAAGAUUUAUCGGUAAAGGAUCGGCCCGCGUUGGAUUAGCUAGUUGGUGGGGUAAAGGCCUACCAAGGCGACGAUCCAUAGCUGGUCUGAGAGGAUGAUCAGCCACAUUGGGACUGAGACACGGCCCAAACUCCUACGGGAGGCAGCAGUGGGGAAUAUUGGACAAUGGGCGCAAGCCUGAUCCAGCCAUGCCGCGUGAGUGAUGAAGGCCUUAGGGUUGUAAAGCUCUUUCACCGAUGAAGAUAAUGACGGUAGUCGGAGAAGAAGCCCCGGCUAACUUCGUGCCAGCCGCCGCCGUAAGAC